rnacentral:tRNA from 1 species
AGCGGAGUAGGGCAGUCAGGAGUGCCCGUCGGGCCCAUAACCCGGAGGUCAGUGGUUCAAAUCCACUCUCCGCUA